GCACCUGUAGCUCAGGGGAUAGAGCACCGGAUUCCUAAUCCGGGUGUCGCAGGUUCGAUUCCUGCCAGGUGUACCA
rnacentral:tRNA from 1 species